CCGUAAACGNNNNNNACUUGGAGGUUGUGGCCUUGAGCCGUGGCUUUCGGAGCUAACGCGUUAAGUAGACCGCCUGGGGAGUACGGUCGCAAGAUUAAAACUCAAAUGAAUUGACGGGGGCCCGCACAAGCGGUGGAGCAUGUGGUUUAAUUCGAUGCAACGCGAAGAACCUUACCUACUCUUGACAUCCAGAGAACUUUCCAGAGAUGGAUUGGUGCCUUCGGGAACUCUGAGACAGGUGCUGCAUGGCUGUCGUCAGCUCGUGUUGUGAAAUGUUGGGUUAAGUCCCGCAACGAGCGCAACCCUUAUCCUUGUUUGCCAGCACUUCGGGUGGGAACUCCAGGGAGACUGCCGGUGAUAAACCGGAGGAAGGUGGGGACGACGUCAAGUCAUCAUGGCCCUUACGAGUAGGGCUACACACGUGCUACAAUGGCGCAUACAGAGGGCAGCCAACUUGCGAGAGUGAGCGAAUCCCAAAAAGUGCGUCGUAGUCCGGAUCGGAGUCUGCAACUCGACUCCGUGAAGUCGGAAUCGCUAGUAAUCGUGGAUCAGAAUGCCACGGUGAAUACGUUCCCGGGCCUUGUACACACCGCNNNNCACACCAUGGGAGUGGGAUGCAAAAGAAGUAGGUNNNNNNNNNUUCGGGAGGACGCAAAGCACUUUGUGGUUCAUGACUGGGGUGAAGUCGUAACAAGGUAACC
rnacentral:rRNA from 1 species